rnacentral:rRNA from 1 species
AUUGAACGCUGGCGGCAGGCCUAACGCAUGCAAGUCGAGCGGAUGAAGAGAGCUUGCUCUCUGAUUUAGCGGCGGACGGGUGAGUAAUGUCUAGGAAUCUGCCUGGUAGUGGGGGAUAACGUUCCGAGAGGAACGCUAAUACCGCAUACGUCCUACGGGAGAAAGCAGGGGACCUUCGGGCCUUGCGCUAUCAGAUGAGCCUAGGUCGGAUUAGCUAGUUGGUGAGGUAAUGGCUCACCAAGGCGACGAUCCGUAACUGGUCUGAGAGGAUGAUCAGUCACACUGGAACUGAGACACGGUCCAGACUCCUACGGGAGGCAGCAGUGGGGAAUAUUGGACAAUGGGCGAAAGCCUGAUCCAGCCAUGCCGCGUGUGUGAAGAAGGUCUUCGGAUUGUAAAGCACUUUAAGUUGGGAGGAAGGGCAGUAAGUUAAUACCUUGCUGUUUUGACGUUACCGACAGAAUAAGCACCGGCUAACUUCGUGCCAGCAGCCGCAGUAAUAC